CCAGUCACAUCCCCUUAUCACUUUUCCAGCCAGCUUUGUAACUCUAAAUGUUGGACGGAGAACUGAUAAGAGUAGGUGAUUGA
rnacentral:pre_miRNA from 1 species